rnacentral:rRNA from 1 species
GCACAAGCAGCGGAGCGUGUGGUUUAAUUCGUUGCUACACGAAGAACCUUACCUGGGUUUGACAUAUAGGUUGUAGGGAACUGAAAAGGGACCGACCCUUCGGGGAGCCUAUACAGGUGUUGCAUGGCUGUCGUCAGCUCGUGUCGUGAGAUGUUCGGUUAAGUCCGCUAACGAGCGCAACCCUCGUCGUAUGUUAUAUGUGUCAUACGAGACUGCCGGUAAAAAGCCGGAGGAAGGUGAGGAUGAUGUCAAGUCAGCAUGACCUUUAUAUCCAGGGCUACACACACGCUACAAUGGUCUGUACAAUGGGUAGCCAAGCCGCGAGGCGGAGCCAAUCCUGAAAGCAGGCCUCAGUUCAGAUUGCAGUCUGCAACUCGACUGCAUGAAGCCGGAGUUGCUAGUAACCGCAGGUCAGCAAUACUGCGGUGAAUACGUUCCCGGGUCUU